CCCUGAGCUCUGCUCUCGCCAGGGCCGAAUCAGACAAACACUUGGAUCCAAACUUAUUAAAUGUGCACCCACUGCGUCCCUCUUCCGAGCGUGAAGACAGUGGAGAGCGCUCAGUUUCAGCUGCCCAGACCAUCAGGAAAUAUUUUCAACAGCUUCUGCCGCAAGCCCCCCACGUCCAUGUCCGGGUCCGUCCUGGAGGCCCUGACCCUCUCCACUGCCAUGAAGUGUGCCCCCCCCGACGGCUGCUCCCUGUUCCUGCGCGUCAAGGCCUCUCUCACGCUGCAUGAGGGCCUGCGGGGCCUGGAGGCCUGCUCCAUGAGCCUGGACACCCAGGAGAUACAGUGCCAGAGCGUGCGGGUCCCGAGGGCCUCCCGCCGGCUGCAGGUGGGGCAGCAGCUCCAGGUGCACUUUGACUGCUUUGAGGUGAGCGUGGCCCAGAGCCUCUACGUCACCCUGAGGACUGUCCCCCACUUCUGCGGGGUCCAGCUGGACGAGCGGUACCAUGUGGAAGACUGCGCAGACGAGGACGUAGGGAGGAACGUGCCCGACUGCUUUGCUGGGAAGCUCUCCUACUCGGUGGACCGCAGCCGCAAGGUCAUUCUGGUACAGGUGCCAGAGUCAGGGGGCCCCGACUACCACGACUACUACGUGCGGCUCUGCCUCAAGUGGUUCACCUGCGAAGACGCGGGCGCCCCAGUGCGAGUGACAGCGAACGGGGUCUCCCGGAGGGUCUCUCUGCCCUACAAACAAGAGUUGUCGUGCCUGUGCCUUGAGGGCUGGUCCGCGACGCCUGACGCCGUGCGGAUCCAGACCUGCCCCUUCGAAGAUGACACGGAGACACUGUGGGACGCCAUCCACUACCACCCGGGGAGCCAGGAGCUGAGUUGGGAGCCUGCCUGUCCCAUGAGUGGCCGUGUGAGUCUGUGCUGGCGCCCAGGGCCAGGGUCCCAGUGCCUGGAGCUGGAGCAGUCCAGCCGGCCUGCACACAGCAGGGUGCAGUACCCUCUUGUGGACACCCAGCCCCAGCUCUGCCUGAAGUUCUCCACGAGCCUGGGCUUCCCGGUGAAGUGCCCUUUUGAGCAGCUGCGCUUCCCAGCCUGGAAGAUGACCGUCCAGCUGGCGCCCGCUCCGGGCCACCUCCGGGUGGCCUUCUUCUCGCCCAGCCCUGCCCGCUUCCAGGUGUGCCUGUGUCACCGAGGGAAGACGUGGCCCCCCGCGUGCCGCCGGCUGCUCCAGGCCACCCCCAUCCCUGCGGGUGACCCCACAGAGGACCCUGCGGUGGCCUUUGUGGACAUUCCUGGGGACCAGGCCUGCGCACCCGGCACCUGCAUCCAGGGCAGAAGGACCGACAUCCAGUUCUCCGUCCCCCAGCAGCUGUGCGACCUCCAGUGCGCUGCCAGCCAGGGGACAGCAGCCUGAGGCCACGUGUCUCACCAGGAAGAAGGAAGCGCUAGGGCCAGACUGCUGGGACGUGGAUCUGGAACCACACCCGGAGCCCCAUGGCCCAGCAGGCCCGCCGCCUUGGCCAUGGACCAAUUCGUAUGCUGUUAUUUCCUUUUCUUGGUCUAUUGCACUGGCUACAAAUGCUGGUACUGUGUUGAAUAAGAAUGACAAGAUGGGCAUCCUUGACUCGAUGCUGAUCUUCGGGGAAAAAGCCUUUCACAUGCUCAGAAAAAUGUUGUAUUACCAAUACUUCUUUCUGGUCUCUACGAUUUCUGAAGAGAAGCCCAGUCAUUCAAAUCCUAGCUCCUCUGUAGCUUAUCCUGGAUGGGAUUAGCCCUGCUUCUUCAAUUAAACUAUCCACUUCUGCAUUUGUGACACAUUUGGGGCCAAACGGCAGGAGAACAUAGAGGGAAAAAGCUGCUAAUAUGUGAGUUCAGCAAGGUUCCAGGACCCAAGAUCAACAUACAAAAACCAUCUGCAUUUCGAUAUGUUACCGAUGAACGAUCCAGAAAGGAAAUUGAGAUAACAACUCCAUUUACAACAGCAAUGAAAAGAAUGCAAUGGUUAGGAAUGAACUUAACAAAAGGAGAGCAAGACUUGUACACUUAAGACUACAGAGCAAUUCUAAGAGAGAGUAAAGAAAUCUAAAUAAACAGGGAGAAAUUCAGUGUUCAUGGGUGGGAAGACUCAAUACUGUUACGAUGCACACAGACUGAACAGACUGAAUGCAAUUUCUAUCAAAAUGUGAGUGGAUUUCUGGGGGGCAGAAGUGAGCAAUCUGAUCGUAAAAUGUGUAUGGAAAGGCAAAGGACACAAAAUAGCCAAAACAAGUUUUUAAAGGAGCAAAGCUGGAGAAUUUAGAGUUUCCAAUUUUAAAACUUACACUAACGCUACAGCGAUAGAGACAGCACGUUUUGCAGUAUGGACUGACAUCCAGGCCCAUGGAACAGGACUGAGAUCCAGAAAUAAAUGAUCAGAUGAUUUUUGACAAAGGUGCCACAGCUUUCACUGGGGAAAGGGAUACUCUUCAACAAAUGGUGCUAUGGUAAUUGGACAUCCACAUGGAGAAAGAGGAGUUUGGACCCUUACCUCACACCGUACACAAAAAUUAACUCAAAAUGAACCAUAAACCUAAAUGUAGGCGCUACAGCCAUAACGCUUCUGAAAGGAAACAUAAAAGAAAACCUCUGUGCCCUUGAGUGACGCAUAGUGUUCUCAGGUGCAGCAGACACUAAAGACAGGACCCAUGGAAAAGACAGACAAAUUGGACUUGGUCAAAAGUAAACGUUUUGUGUUUCAAACACCAGCAGUAAGAUGGUGAAAACUGGGUUAAAUGUUCCCAAAUCUUAUAUGUAUUAAUAAUAAAGGACUUGCAUUUAGAAUCUAUAAAGAACGCUCACAACUCAAAAUACGACACACGCUGAAAGUUGUUGUGUGUAUUUUACCACAAUUCACAAACAUAUAUAAGAUUUUAAAGAACAACAAUAAGACAAGCAAUCCAAGUAAGAAAUAGGUCGAAAGUUUGAUUAGACAUUUAACCAAAGAAGGAGGGGGGAAGCUGGGUAUCCUCUUUGGUGCAAUGUCUAAUCAAAUGUGAGAAGAUGCUUAACAUCAUUAGCUAUUAGGAAAAUCAAAUUGAAACUGAAUGCAACACCGCUUCACAUCCACUAGGAUGGCUACAGUCAGAAUGAAAGAUGAUAAUGAGCGUUGACAAGGACGUGGAAACAUUGGAAGCCUCGGUCAUUGCUGGUGGGAAUGCAAACUGUAGAGCCAACUUCUUCAAAAGUUACAUGGAAAUGUCCCACGUGACCCAGCAAUUCCAUUCCUAGGUGUCUACCUCAAAGAAAUGACAAUGUAUGUGCACACGAAGACAUGUACCUGAAUGUACAUAACAGCCUUAUUCGUAAGAGCCAAAAUGUGGGGGAAGAAAAGCAAACAUCCAUCAACUGGUGAGCGGAUAAGCAGAACGUGUUCCCUACAAUGGAAUAUGUUUAUGGGAACCAACUAUGGACGUGUUACGUCACGGAUGAACUUCAAAAUGCGUGUGCUCAGCGAAAGCAACCAGAUACCAAACGCUACAAGUUGUAGAUUCCGUUUAUAUGAAACGUCCAAAAAAGGCCAGUCUGUGGGACAGAAAGCAGGUGCGUGGUUGCCAGGGGCUGGGGUGGGGGACGAGUGACUGCUCGUGGGGAACAAGGGAUCAUCGAGGGGAUGGAAAACGUGCUAAAAUCGGACUGUGGUGGUUGCACAACUCGGAAGUUUUACUAAAACCAUUGAAGGGUGGGUGGCUCAUUGAAGUCGUUGAAAG